AUGAAAAACCUGUGGUUCUUCCUCCCCCUGGUGGCAGCUCCCAGAAGGGUCCUGUCCCAGGUGCAGCUGCAGGAGUGGGGCCCAGGACUGGUGAAGCCUUCGGAGACCCUGUCCCUCACAUGCGCUGUCUCUGGUGACUCCAUCAGCAGUGGUAACUGGUGGAGCUGGGUCCGCCAGUCCCCAGGGAAGGGGCUGGAAUGGAUUGGAUACAUCUAUUAUAGUGGGAGGAGCUACUACACCCCGUCCCUCAGGAGUUGAGUCACCAUGUCAAUAGAAACGUCCAAGAACCAGUUUUCCCUGAAGCUGAGCUCUGUGACCGCA